UACGAAGGGGGCUAGCGUUGCUCGGAAUCACUGGGCGUAAAGGGUGCGUAGGCGGGUCUUUUAAGUCAGGGGUGAAAUCCUGGAGCUCAACUCCAGAACUGCCUUUGAUACUGAGGAUCUUGAGUUUCGGGAGAGGUGAGUGGAACUGCGAGUGUAGAGGUGAAAUUCGUAGAUAUUCGCAAGAACACCAGUGGCGAAGGCGGCUCACUGGCCCGAUACUGACGCUGAGGCACGAA
rnacentral:rRNA from 1 species